UCCCUGGUGGUCUAGUGGUUAGGACUUGGCAUUUCUACUGCCAUGGCCCAGAUUCAAUCCCUGGUCAUGGAA
rfam:TPA: Bos taurus chromosome 2, whole genome shotgun sequence.